CUCCAGCAUGUGUUCAAAUGGGCCCCAAAGUUGACUGUGUGCAAUGGACACUGCUCCAGCCUUCGGAAGGCUUCACAUCAGGCCAUAAACUGUGAGGAUUGAAAGACCACUCCUGAAGAAUUACUGGACUAGCAGAAAGAAAUCUGAUGCUAACAACUCUUGAAAGGACAAGAGCACAAAAGAGAAGUGGCCUAUCCAUCCCUGUAGUUCACGAUGAAUGAAAUGCCAAAGUACCACCACAUAUGUCAAAGGUAUUCCCUCCAGGACUGAUGUAAGGAAAGAACAAUCAACAACUACUGCUCCUACCCUGAAGUCAUGUCCACAAAGAGCCCCCUACGUGGUCCACAUGAGAUAAAGAAAGGCUGCCCCUGAACUGUGCACAGUCCGUCAGCUGAUUUACUGGCUGCUUUAAAUGCUCACUUGAAAAAUUUUAGUUGCACUGGUGAAAAGAUUUUCAUGGGACACCAAAAAAAUGCUAAAAUAAAAUUACACAGUUUAGGGAUGGAAAGUAAAUGGGGAUCAAAAUAUCUGGGAGGAAAAUAACCAAGUUCUGAAAUGAACACACUGUACAUUUUUUUUUCUUUUCCCUUCUUUUUUAUUUUAUCAACAUGGUGAAAUCUGAACAUUUUUUUUGAUGUUGACAAACCUGAGGUUUCCACUAAUAUGUGUUGAAAUUGACAUUUAUUGUCAUUCUUGUUGAAGGUACAAACCAGCUAACCUCUGUCAGUAGCUAAGCUCUAAUCUACCCCAUCCCCACUACAUUACGCAAGGUAUCUUGAACUUUUACCAAAAUCCUCUCAAAUUAGGGACACAAUGUUGAGGGACAAAACUCAGAACAGCAAUAUAGUAUAGAAAACCUCCAAGUAGAAAUGUUUUGCUUUUCUACCAAAGAACCAGAAGA